rnacentral:rRNA from 1 species
UGAGGAAUAUUGGUCAAUGGGCGUGAGCCUGAACCAGCCAAGUAGCGUGAGGGACGACGGCCCUAUGGGUUGUAAACCUCUUUUGUGUGGGAAUAAUGUGCCGUACGCGUACGGUAUUGCAUGUACCUCACGAAUAAGCAUCGGCUAAUUCCGUGCCAGCAGCCGCGGUAAUACGGAAGAUGCGAGCGUUAUCCGGAUUUAUUGGGUUUAAAGGGAGCGUAGGCGGGCUGUUAAGUCAGCGGUCAAAUGUCAGGGCCCAACCUUGGCAUGCCGUUGAUACUGUCAGUCUUGAAUGCACCCAAGGAAGGUGGAAUUCGUCAUGUAGCGGUGAAAUGCUUAGAUAUGACGAAGAACUCCGAUUGCGAAGGCAGCCUUCUGGAGUGCAAUUGACGCUGAGGCUCGAAAGUGCGGGUAUCGAACAGGAUUAGAUACCCUGGUAGU